AGAUGAAGAGCCUCGCAGUCCUCCUGCAGACAGAGUACCGGAGGAACAAGCGGGCGAAGGCGCUGCUCAGAGGCGGUCGUCCGGCUCCAGCGGCUCAGACAGCAGCAGCGAGGAGGACAGUGACGAUGGCGUGAGGCACAAGAUGAAGAGCAGCGUGGCACACGUCAGGCGUGAUGAUCAGGACGAGAGCAGCAGACGCAGGAGCUCCUCAGCAGACAGGAACGGCAGUGGAAGGUUAUUUCUGCUCGUGCUCCAGAUGUCGGAGAGUGUGGAGAUGAAGAGAUGAAGACAGUUCUG